UACAGAGGUCCCAAGCGUUGUUCGGAUUCACUGGGCGUAAAGGGUGCGUAGGCGGUCGGGUAAGUCUGGCGUGAAAUCUCCAAGCCUAACUUGGAAACUGCGUUGGAUACUAUCCGGCUCGAGGAAUGGAGGGGAGACUGGAAUACUUGGUGUAGCAGUGAAAUGCGUAGAUAUCAAGUGGAACACCAGUGGCGAAGGCGAGUCUCUGGACAUUUCCUGACACUGAGGCACGAAGGCCAGGGGAGCAAACGGG
rnacentral:rRNA from 1 species